GGUAGCCCAGAUAUUGUUCCCAUUUUCUGUGGGGCCUUGCCUCAUAGCACUUGGAAUUCGUAUCCACAUGAAUUUGAGGAUUUCGCAACUGAUGCUUCUUUUUUGGAUGAGUGGUCAUUCGAUCAAUUCCAGAACCUCUUGAAUAGUUCCAAUAAAGACCCAAAAUUGAAGCAGCUACUACAACAAGACAAACUUGUUGUUUUUCUUCAUCUGCUUGGCUGUG
rnacentral:misc_RNA from 1 species